rnacentral:rRNA from 1 species
AUGCACAUGGUGGUGCCUUACACCAGCAAUGAAGGAGUUUUAAUAUCCAAGCAUAUCUGUUGUUGCAGGCCCGAUUUCAUUGAAAUAGAUGGCUUCCAUACAUCUCUGCAGAACUUUCACGGGUCUCUAAAGCCAAUAGCUGAGAUCGACAACGAGGUCAUGACCUUAUACCUGAGGACUUUCAACUAUGAUCAGUCGGUAAAGAAGAAGAAACCCAAGAUGUUUGCAUUCUUAGUGUUGAUGAGUACAAAACUCAGUGCUGAGCCCGAUGUGUUUGAUCCGAAGGUGUGCGAAAGAGAAUUUAGGAGUGCUUGCUCAGAUUAUCAUAUUUCAAAAUCUGACUUACUAUUCUUCACGGUUGUUCACAAAAGGCACUGGGCAGUAGUAGUUGUUAACACUGCCCAAAAGGAGUUCAAUAUUUUUGACUCGACCAAGAACUCAAAAGACCUAUUCGAGAUGGACAAGAUUACUAAGAAUCUGAUCGCCAAUAUCAAGAGUGUUGCAAUGAGGGAGCCCCUUUUCAAGCAUGAUCUCGAGUCUUUCACAGUGUUCUCCCCAGCUAAUUACCCGCGACAAACAACUUACUAUAACUGUGGCUACUACAGUAUUUUAUACUGGAGAAUUGGAAUGGCCUUAUUAUGUUGUCAUUCAAUGAGGAAUACAUUCCAAAUCUUCGAAUACGCAUUUCAGCGGAUCUGCUGA